GCCAGCAUAGCUCAGUUGAUAGAGCAGCUGACUUGUAAUCAGCAGGUCGUCGGUUUGAGUCCGACUGCUGGCU
rfam:Lentisphaera araneosa HTCC2155 1101329224561, whole genome shotgun sequence.